AGCGAACGCUGGCGGCAGGCCCAACACAUGCAAGUCGAACGGAUCCUUCGGGAUUAGUGGCGGACGGGUGAGUAACACGUGGGAACGUGCCCUUUGGUUCGGAACAACUCAGGGAAACUUGAGCUAAUACCGGAUGUGCCCUUCGGGGGAAAGAUUUAUCGCCAUUGGAGCGGCCCGCGUCUGAUUAGCUAGUUGGUGGGGUAAAGGCCCACCAAGGCGACGAUCAGUAGCUGGUCUGAGAGGAUGAUCAGCCACAUUGGGACUGAGACACGGCCCAAACUCCUACGGGAGGCAGCAGUGGGGAAUCUUGCGCAAUGGGCGAAAGCUUGACGCAGCCAUGCCGCGUGAAUGAUGAAGGUCUUAGGAUUGUAAAAUUCUUUCACCGGGGACGAUAAUGACGGUACCCGGAGAAGAAGCCCCGGCUAACUUCGUGCCAGCCGCCGCAGUAAAAC
rnacentral:rRNA from 1 species